CAGUGCCCCUCAGACCUUUGUAAUUUAAAGCUCUGAGUGGCACUGCAACUGUUAUGGAUCGCUUACCACUCGGCGCAAGAUUUAUUCGUCCAAAUUCUACAAUGUUUGACUUAUGAUAUCAUGUAUAAGCGGGCAGAUGUGGGUGUUAUCGUCGUUGUUGCUUUUAUAAUCGGUCAGGCCAUAUCAGCUCCUAGUACGGAAAUGCCUCGAACGUUGACCAUGUCUUCUGCAACUACUACUACUCAACGUACAACGACUGAAUGUCAUCAUGCCACAGACCUCGUCGAUGGUUUCGCCGGCAACGCCAUAAACGUACCUCCGUGCAAAGAUGGCAAACAACUCGACAUUUUUGGCGUGUGUCGUGAAAUAUUCAAUGAUAAUAAAAAUUCCUAGUUAUAACUUAUCAUUAAAUAAGAACCAUUUAUAAUAUACGUACUUUAAAAAGGGUACAGUCAUUAUUUACAAUGUUAAUAUUACUUUACAUUAGUAACCUAACUGCCUUAUCUAAUCUAAACAAGUACUUAGAGAUGUAAAUACAUGUCAAAACCAUGUAAUAAAAGA